GACGAACGCUGGCGGCGUUCCUAAUCCAUUCAAAUCGAACGCAUUUUCUUUCAGCGUUGUUUGCUACACCGAAAGAACGUGAGUUGCGAACGGGUGAGUUUCACGUCGUUAACUUGCCCAUCAGCGGCGUAUCACACUUGGAAACAGGUGCUAAUACAGCUUUAUUCCAUUUAACGCAAGGUAGAGGGCUGCAUGUCGCUUUUCCGUCUUUGAUGUAUGGAUCCGCGGUGCCUUAGCUAGUUGGUGGGGUAACGGCCUACCAAGGCUGCGAUGCAUAGCCGACCUGAGAGGGUGAGCGGCCACACUGGGACUGAGACACGGCCCAGACUCCUACGGGAGGCAGCAGUAGGGAAUCUUCGGCAAUGGACGCAAGUCUGACCGAGCAACGCCGCGUGAGUGAAGAAGGUUUUCGGAUUGUAAAACUCUGUUGUUAGAGAAGAACAAGGAUGAGAGUGGAAAGUUCAUCCCUUGACGGUAUCUAACCAGAAAGCCACGGCUAACUACGUG
rnacentral:rRNA from 1 species